rnacentral:rRNA from 1 species
GCUANAGGCGGGGGUGCCCGAAAGGGAGCCUGGACACAGGUGCUGCAUGGCUGUCGUCAGCUCGUGUCGUGAGAUGUUGGGUUAAGUCCCGCAACGAGCGCAACCCUUGCCACUAGUUGCCACCGAAAGGGGCACUCUAGUGAGACUGCCGGUGACAAACCGGAGGAAGGUGGGGAUGACGUCAAGUCCUCAUGGCCCUUAUGGGUAGGGCUUCACACGUCAUACAAUGGCGCAUACAGAGGGUUGCCAACCCGCGAGGGGGAGCCAAUCCCAGAAAGUGCGUCGUAGUCCGGAUUGUUCUCUGCAACUCGAGAGCAUGAAGUCGGAAUCGCUAGUAAUCGCGGAUCAGCAUGUCGCGGUGAAUACGUUCCCGGGUCUUGUACACACCGCCCGUCACACCAUGGGAGUGGGUUUCACCAGAAGCAGGUAGCUUAACCCGCAAGGGGGAGCGCCUACCACGGUGAGAUUCAUGACUGGGGUGAAGUCGUAACAAGGUAACCGU